GUACUUGCUUUGACAGCACACACAGUAACAUUUGCAAUGUACAGGGAAGAUUAACUGACCUGCUGCACAAAGAUGACACACACAUUUAUGAAGAUGAUUCUUUUUAU
ensembl:snRNA U6 U6 spliceosomal RNA